UAUUUCCGUCCUGUAUAGUACAGUAAGUCGUGUUUUAAAAAUAAAGUUGUCUAUAUCUCAUUUACAGAAAUGACAACAGCAUCAGCAAUGGGGUGUAAGAGGUACGGCAAUCCAUGCUGUUAUAAUCAGCAUUCAAUCUCAGAAAGUAAAAGCUGCAAAGAAUGUCCACCUGGAACUUUUGGAUGGAACUGUAAUAUGACCUGUCCGUCAGGGUUUUACGGACGGUUGUGUGGAUCUCCCUGUGAGUGCAAGGCCCAUAAAUGUCAUCAUGUUACAGGAUGUACUAUAGAAAACAGUUCUUUUUGGUCUGAGAACACAACCGAUGAAAAUCAUCAAACGUCCAAUUUUCCUGAUUCGGUGGAUAAAACUGAAGAAUGGCAAACCACAAAAACAUCUAAUCUUAAACUGUUUUCUGUUUUCGAUUGGUCGAAUAAAACGACAGAUAUGGAAGCCACGAUAACUUCCAGUAUGUACCCAGCAGGGCGUCAAGAUCAAAAUGUUAAACAACAUGAUGUCACCUGGUUAGCUGUAAGCUGUUCACUGAUUGGAUCUUUGGCAACGCUCUUUCUAAUUGGAUGUUUUAUGUACUUCCGUUCUCGUCGCAAUCUUAAGAAGAAAGCCCCAAAAGGAAUCAAGAGGAUUUUAUUUUCCCGUUUAGAACCAGAUAGAAACGUACAGCAUCAUCCACAAGAAGGACAGCUGGAACAUUCCACUCUCAUCCCCACACAACAAUGUCAAGGUGACGAUCCUUACGCAGAAAUACGGUAUUCCCAGAUGGGCGGGGAAUGUGCAGAAGCAGCCAUGAAUAUAAACAACAAAGGCAAUACGAUGUCCAAAGAACCUAAAUGUGUUGCGAGAAAUACAAAUUUGUAUGAAAAAUGUUCAUUUGAAACUGAAUAUGACCACAUUAACCUUAAAGUGAACUCAAACUUACCUCCUUCGUUGCAUAAGGAGGGGAAAAUUUUAUAUAGUGACCUUCAGGAAUAUGCUGAUCUGCCUGAUGAAGGUCGGUUACAACAAGAAUUACUUAAUCAUGAUGGAAGUUCCAAAUCUUUGACUUUACCUCUAAAUUUGAAGAGGGUGAGCGAACACAAUGAAUUAAAGCCACGCUUCUACAGUCUAUGUCAUGAUGUUUCCACAAACGUGUUAAAGGUUGAUCAAGACAAAACAGGCACAGAAAACGAUUGUGUAAAACAAGUUUAUCCUGAUGGUCUGCAGACUGAAUCUGAUCCCGAAGUUAAGGAGGAAGACCGACCUUAUAGCUGUGUUCAUUCACUGUUAAAUGAUGAUUUGAAUCCAGAAGAAAAACCAAAUACUGCGUGAGUCAGUAUAAUUUUAUCAAGUGUAAAGGAGGACUCAAGUCCUUCGAUUGACAGACCAUACAGUUAUGUUAAAAAGUUGUGAGGAAAAAAACACACAUAACGCAAAGAGAAAAAAAACAUACUAUUGUUGACUAUCAAAAAGAAAACUGUUUGAUAUUACAUAGAUGUAAGGUACUUUGCCAGACAUUUGAACAUGAUACCACAGGGUGAUAUUUCUGAUAUAAAUCUUUUGAGUGAUCUUCUGAAUGGCCUAUACAACAAAUUUUGGUGUACUUAUAUUUAACAGCCUGUAUUGAAAACAAUGUAGAAAUUCCAAGAGAAUAACAAAUAUGCAUAUGUUUUAUAUAAUACCAAGAAAUACAAAAGAUAUUUUUGAGGAACUACUGGUCGUCUGACCUAACGUUUGGGAUGACACCUCAAUAAGUUAUUUUUUUUAAUUUUAAAUUAUCACACAGUAUUUGUAAAAAAGGAUCCAUCCAUAAAAAAGUAAAAAUGAUAGGCCCGUUUAACAAGUAAGAACUUACGACAAAUACCAAAACUCUAUUCUGCUUUAACUUUUAAUUUACAUUAAAUUGAAAAUUGUUUAAAACUUUUUGAAUGGAAUGAAAGAUGAUAUAUUUUCCUUCCAGCAAUAUUAAACAAAAACAAUAGUUUUGAAAAAUUUUACAUAAACUUAAGUUUUUAGUCUUAGACGUUCUUUUAUAAAGGGGCUCCAGGGCUUUUAGGGGCAUAUAAAGUACCAACGCAUUAAAGAAAGGCGUGAUAUACAUUUUAAAAAGUACUAUCGUGAGAGACAUCGAGUUUUUUCUAUUUAUUGAUUUUAUUUAUUUUAGUUACUUAUUCUACAAUUUCCUAGGAGUUGUUCUUUGUAUAAGACAUAAUGAUUUGAACUUUAAAUUUUUGAUUUUAUACUAAAUUUUACAAUUAUUGAGUUGACACACUCAUGUUUCUUUUUUCUUAAUUGGAUGACUCUAAUCAUAUUUUUUUCUUACAAAACAAUGUGUUAAUCAUAAAACAGGGAAAUCGAAUUCUCUGAGAAAAGAAAUAGGGAAAUUUAACUCUUGUGUGAAAUUUCCUCUCCGAGGGAAGUACUAUAUCUUUUAUAGAGUAUAGAUUCCGGAGGAAAGUUUGCUAUGGGUGAAAUCCUACUCUUUAACAUUGGUAAUAGUACCAUAUAGCGUAAUAUAAAGACAAGAUUGUUUUUUAUCAUUGACCAGUAGAGGGAGAUGCUUACUCCUCAAUGACAAUUGAUCCCUCUCUGCUGUUUCCAGGGGCCCGAGGUUUUACCCUGAACACAAUUCAUGCAUUUCUUAACUGGAUCUCUGAGACGGUUCACUGAUAGUCAUCUUCACCUUUUGAAACAUUAUCAAUUCAAUUUACAAGAAUUUGGUGUAUACAACACAUUUUAUUACAAGAAGGAAGACGGAAGAUAAAUUUAUAAUUGUACACGGAAGACGAAAUUUAUCUAUAUUGUAUUGUGUCUGCUCAGAAUGAAAAUGAUAACUUUACACACACAAAAAUAAAUGACAAUUUUAGAAGAAACCUAGCUCUUGACCUUCGUUAAUUUAAUAAUUGUCCAUUAGAUCUGGGUUGGUGAUUUUUAAGUUUUGAUAAGUAUGAGGAAGUAAACAAUUGUUAAAAUCAGCUGAUGCGAUGUCACUCACUAACACGGAAUAUCUACCAUAUUUAAUUUUUAUAUCACAUGUUCCUCUAACAUGUAUUUAUGGAGACUUACAAGUAAAUAAGAUUCUUACAGGGUCACAUGAUCGUCUGUACCCGAUGCUGAUUUACUAGUACUUUUAAA